rnacentral:rRNA from 1 species
UACCAGCACCCCGAGUGGUCGGGACGUUUAUUGGGCCUAAAGCAUCCGUAGCCGGUUCUACAAGUCUUCCGUUAAAUCCACCUGCUUAACAGAUGGGCUGCGGAAGAUACUAUGGAGCUAGGAGGCGGGAGAGGCAAGCGGUACUCGAUGGGUAGGGGUAAAAUCCGUUGAUCCAUUGAAGACCACCAGUGGCGAAGGCGGCUUACCAGAACGCGCUCGACGGUGAGGGAUGAAAGCUGGGGGAGCAAACCGG